UCAUUCUUGCAGAGCAAACACAUUGCUCAUUUUACGAAGGAAUAUACAUUGGAAUAGAAAGAGAGCACAACAAAAAGCAACAGCAAAGGAUCAUUCAACGAAAUGAUUUCUAAAGCGAUCAAAAUGUUGAUCCUCGUCGCUAUAACCUACUCCUCAUUGGCAAGACCUGAUUUGGAAUCAAGAGGACACAGGGCAAUGAGGGCAGUCGAGCAUGUAAAUAAUUCAGGCAAAGACAUAGAGGAAGUUAUCGUAGAUGAAAAUAAAAUGCAGAAACGGAAUGAAAAUGACUUAAACGUCAAUUCAAUUACACCAACAAGUAUUGUUGCACCAAGCAGCAUUGAGUCAUCAAACAAAGUUAUGGCAACAACUAAUAUUUUGCCCCCAAUCAAUACUGUUGUGACAAGCAGUACAAUGCUACUAAAUAAUAUUGUGCUUCAAACAAAUGUUUCUACAGCAACCAAUACUUUAGCGCCCUUAUCCGCCUAUGUGACAUCAUCUCACGCUGUAACACAGUCUACUAAUACUAUUAAAUCUACCGAAGCUCUGGAACUAAUUAGACCUUUUAAAACUUGUCCAUUCGAUUGCAAUCAGCUGUGUAUUAAGAAGUAUGGAAAAUACUAUAAAUGCAACAAGAAGCUAUAUAUAUGCUGUCACAUUGGGUGUUUGACAUACAAUAAAUAUGUAAAAUUAGGCCUAAAACCGUGGCUUUCUUAUGUCCUUACGUUUGAGAAAAUUUGCAAAUGUCGAAGUAUGCAAAUAAUUUAAGGUUAACUUUAACAUAGCAUCAAGUAGUCGGAAUACAUUAUUAAAUUUAAGUGUUAACUUUGCAAAGAAUGCCAGCAUGUUUAACAUAUGUAAAAUAUGGUUGUAAUAUAAAUCAUAGUUCUUCAAUCUUUUUUUGUUCAUUUUUCUAUAGCAGAUUUCAUAAAGUAAAAAUAAUUGCGUUAUUUUGAAAUCACUUACCACAACUAUACAAAAAUAUCCUUCUAUUUGAAAUAGCUUAUUAGCCUACGUAAUAGAGUGCUCGUAUAAAUGUUAAAAAAUAAUUUAUAGCCUUAUUUU